CUACGGGACGCAGCAGUGGGGAAUCUUAGACAAUGGGGGAAACCCUGAUCUAGCCAUGCCGCGUGAGUGACGAAGGCCCUAGGGUCGUAAAGCUCUUUCACCAGGGAAGAUAAUGACGGUACCUGGAGAAGAAACCCCGGCUAACUCCGUGCCAGCAGCCGCGGUAAUACGGAGGGGGUUAGCGUUGUUCGGAAUUACUGGGCGUAAAGCGCGCGUAGGCGGACUGUUAAGUCGGGGGUGAAAUCCCGGGGCUCAACCCCGGAACUGCCCUCGAUACUGGCAGUCUUGAGUUCGAGAGAGGUGAGUGGAAUUCCGAGUGUAGAGGUGAAAUUCGUAGAUAUUCGGAGGAACACCAGUGGCGAAGGCGGCUCACUGGCUCGAUACUGACGCUGAGGUGCGAAAGUGUGGGGAGCAAACAGGAUUAGAUACCCUAGUAGUC
rnacentral:rRNA from 1 species